CCUACGGGAGGCAGCAGUGAGGAAUAUUGGUCAAUGGACGAGAGUCUGAACCAGCCAAGUAGCGUGAAGGAUGACUGCCCUAUGGGUUGUAAACUUCUUUUAUAUGGGAGUAAAAUGUUCCACGUGUGGGAUUUUGUAUGUACCAUAUGAAUAAGGAUCGGCUAACUCCGUGCCAGCAGCCGCGGUAAUACGGAGGAUCCGAGCGUUAUCCGGAUUUAUUGGGUUUAAAGGGAGCGUAGGUGGAUUGUUAAGUCAGUUGUGAAAGUUUGCGGCUCAACUGUAAAAUUGCAGUUGAAACUGGCAGUCUGGAGUACAGUAGAGGUGGGCGGAAUUCGUGGUGUAGCGGUGAAAUGCUUAGAUAUCACGAAGAACUCCGAUUGCGAAGGCAGCUCACUGGACUGCAACUGACACUGAGGCUCGAAAGUGUGGGUAUCAAACAGGAUUAGAUACCCGUGUAGUC
rnacentral:rRNA from 1 species